rnacentral:rRNA from 1 species
CACGUAGGGCGCGAGCGUUGUCCGGAAUUAUUGGGCGUAAAGCGCACGUAGGCGGCUUUUCAAGUCCCAUGUGAAAUCCCACGGCUUAACCGUGGAAGUGCAUGGGAAACUGGAAAGCUUGAGUACUUAAGAGGAUCGCGGAAUUCCCGGUGUAGAGGUGAAAUUCGUAGAUAUCGGGAGGAACACCAGUGGCGAAGGCGGCGAUCUGGGAAGAUACUGACGCUGAGGUGCGAAAGCGUGGGGAGCAAACAGG